AGGCCCUUAGCGAGGAGGAGCUGAUCGAUGCCCUGGACGCCCAGAGGACCCAGGAGGACGUCCCGGACAACGAGAAGACUCUGAAGACCUAGGACGACUACGAGAAGUCUCAGUUUGGUAGAUGCAGGAUCCGACUCGAAGAUCGACGAUGACUUUGAAGGAAGGACUAAGGACGACUCAUGCUUCGCUCAAGUUUGCCUGUGGAUGAAAGAAGACGUCAAGAUGGAGGAUACCCCAGAAGUCUAGCUACCGCUUCCGAGUUCUGUUUGUUUCGUUUUAGCCCAAUGGGCUUGUAUCAGAAUUUCGUAUAACAAUCCGCUGGAUUAUGUAUUAAUUAAACCUUUGAUGUGUUUUAUCACGAAGUAUGACUGUGAUAUGUAAUUGAAA